rnacentral:rRNA from 1 species
ACUCAAAGGAAUUGACGGGGGCCCGCACAAGCAGCGGAGCGUGUGGUUUAAUUCGACGCAACGCGAAGAACCUUACCCAGGCUUGACAUGCUACUGCAAACCGGUGAAAGCCGGCUCCUUCGAGGGUGUAGCACAGGUGCUGCAUGGUUGUCGUCAGCUCGUGUCGUGAGAUGUUGGGUUAAGUCCCGCAACGAGCGCAACCCCCAUCGGCAGUUAUACGUGUCUGCCGAGACUGCCGGUUUUUGACCGGAGGAAGGUGGGGACGAUGUCAAAUCAGCAUGGCCCUUACGCCUGGGGCGACACACACGCUACAAUGGGCCGGACAGUGCGCGGCGAGGUCGCAAGACUGAGCAAAUCGCCAAACCGGUCCCCAGUUCAGAUCGGGGGCUGCAACUCGCCCCCGUGAAGGUGGAGUUGCUAGUAACCGCGUAUCAGCCAUGGCGCGGUGAAUGCGUUCCCGGGCCUUGUACACACCGCCCGU